rnacentral:rRNA from 1 species
AGCGUAGGUUGCCUAACAUGUCAACUGUGAAAACCCGGAGCUCAACUCCGGACUUGCAGUUGAAACUGGUAGGCUUGAGGACGGUAGAGGAAGACGGAACUGCCAGUGUAGGGGUAAAAUCCUUAGAUAUUGGCAGGAACGCCGGUGACGAAGGUGGUUUUCUGGGCCGGUUCUGACACUGAUGCUCGAAAGCCAGGGGAGCGAACG